rnacentral:rRNA from 1 species
GUGGGGAAUAUUGGACAAUGGGCCACAAGCCUGAUCCAGCAAUUCUGUGUGCACGAUGAAGGUCUUCGGAUUGUAAAGUGCUUUCAGUUGGGAAGAAGAAAGUGACGGUACCAACAGAAGAAGCGACGGCUAAAUACGUGCCAGCAGCCGCGGUAAUACGUAUGUCGCAAGCGUUAUCCGGAUUUAUUGGGCGUAAAGCGCGUCUAGGCGGAAAAAUAAGUCUGAUGUUAAAAUGCGGGGCUCAACUCCGUAUUGCGUUGGAAACUGUUUUUCUAGAGUACUGGAGAGGUGGGCGGAACUACAAGUGUAGAGGUGAAAUUCGUAGAUAUUUGUAGGAAUGCCGAUGGAGAAGUCAGCUCACUGGACAGAUACUGACGCUGAAGCGCGAAAGCGUGGGGAGCAAACAGGAUUAGAUACCCUUGUAGUCC